UUAACAAAAACAUGGUCUUUCGAGUGGAAUUUAAGGUCGGGCCUGCCCACUGACAUAAGUUGAAGGGCCGCGGUAUUUUGACCGUGCAAAGGUAGCAUAAUCAUUAGUCUUUUAAUUGAGGGCUAGAAUGAAUGGUUUGACGAAAUAUUAACUGUCUCUUUGUAAUUAAUAGAAUUUAACUUUUGAGUCAAAAGGCUUAAAUGAAUAUAAAAGACGAGAAGACCCUAUAGAUCUUUAUAUAAUAGUAUAAUUAUUUUAUUUAGUGGGUUUGUUUAUAAUUAUUUUGUUGUAUUUUGUUGGGGUGACAUGAAGAUAAAAAUAACUCUUUAUAAUGGGGACAUUGAUUUAUGAAUGAUUGAUCCGUUAUUAACGAUUAUAAGAUAAAGUUACCUUAGGGAUAACAGCGUAAUUUUUUUUAAGAGUUCUUAUCGACAAAAAAGAUUGCGACCUCGAUGUUGGAUUAAGGAAUAUGGUUAGGUGUAGCAGUUUAAUUAAUAAGUCUGUUCGACUUUUAAAUCCUUACGUCAUCUGAGUUCAGACC
rnacentral:rRNA from 1 species